GGGACUUUGGCGCUCCGAGGGUCGGGGGAUUGGGUCACUCGUGGGUGUCCCGAGGCCUACGGAGUCAUUCCGCGGCCAGCGGCCUUGGGGGAAGCCACCUCCUGAUUGCGGCGCCACUUUAUCUGUUAAGAAUUUCUGCCUGGAUGGACCCCCUACCCCCAUCUUAGCCAGGGGACAGGAAAGCAACUAUGUUAAAGGAGUGAAAUGGGGGCGGGCGCUGCACACGCCACGUGGACCGAAAGUCACCGUGGCCACCACCUGGCAUACUAUGUGUAAUCCUGGUGUGUGAAGAGACCAGAAGAAGGUGCUGGAUUCCCAGGAACUGGAGUUACAGAAGGUUGUGAGCCACCAUGAGGAUGCUAGGAAUCAAACCCAGGUCCUCUGCAAGAGAUAGCAAGUGCUUUUGACAGCUGAGCCACCUCUCCAGCCCUCUCUUUAAGCCUAGUUUGCUCCAAUGAUCUAUUCAUAUUCUAAUGCCACUAAUACAUGCUAUAAAAAAUAAUUCAUAGUACAUGUACAAAUGAUAAAUGCACAGUUUGUUGGUUUGUGAUGGGCUCUUUGCUCUGUAGCACAGGCUGGCUCGGAAGUCACUCUAGGCAAUCCUCCUGCCUUACCCUCAAGAGUUCUGGAACUACAAGUAGGAGUUGCCAUAUGCCAUUUUAUAUAUACAUAUUUUUUUUCCAAAAAUGGGUUAUCUUUUGUAACCAGCACCAAAUCAAGAAGAAAUAUUACCUAUGUCCGAGAAGCCACCCAUGAGCCCUUUCCUGCCAGCACUCUCCUCAAGAGGGAAUCGCAGAAUAUGUACUCUCUUGUGUCUAGCUUCCUUUGUUUGAAUUACUUAAGCAAGAGUCGGGCUUAAUGUAUAUAAAGCUUGCCUAUUUAUUAUUAUUACUGUGUCCUAGUACAUUGUGAAAAUUGUCCAUAAUUUGCUUUUCUGUUUUAUUGCUAAUGUUAUUUUUUAUUGGAAUUACAUAUUUUUAGAUUAAAGAAACAUUGCUGUAUUUGUAUAAUCUUCCCAUAAAUUUAUGUCUUGGAUGUCC
rnacentral:lncRNA from 1 species